CCUACGGGAGGCAGCAGUGGGGAAUUUUGCACAAUGGGCGAAACCCUGAUGCAGCGACGCCGCGUGAGUGAAGAAGUAUUUCGGUAUGUAAAGCUCUAUCAGCAGGGAAGAAAAUGACGGUACCUGACUAAGAAGCCCCGGCUAACUACGUGCCAGCCGCCGCGGUAAUACGUAGGGGGCAAGCGUUAUCCGGAUUUACUGGGUGUAAAGGGAGCGUAGACGGCAGCGCAAGUCUGAAGUGAAAUGCCGGGGCUGAACGCCGGAACUGCAUUGGAAACUGUGCAGCUAGAGUGCAGGAGAGGUAAGGGGAAUUCCUGGUGUAGCGGUGAAAUGCGUAGAUAUUAGGAGGAACACCAGUGGCGAAGGCGGCUUACUGGACUGUAACUGACGUUGAGGCUCGAAAGCGUGGGGAGCAAACAGGAUUAGAUACCCCAGUAGUC
rnacentral:rRNA from 1 species